UUUUAAACACAUUCUUUGCCUUGCUCUAUUUUCCCAUUUUUUUCCUAAAUCAUGCACACAUAUUGGCUGAUAAUAUUAAUGUAUUGUUGCAGGCUUUAAUAUGUCGAAUUGGUUGCCUUGAGCAGCUAGUGUUAACAUGCAAAGCCGGGUGGGGAUUCCGAUGAUAUGUCGGCUGAGGUUGUCAAGAAUUCUUGGAAAAAUGAGCAAAGGAAUCAAUCGUGAUUAGCAAAGGGGAGGGCUCUGAUUUUGUGGCAAAAGCUAUGGAUUUAGCAGCCAGAGAAUUAAUAACAAGUGCAUCACUAGGACAAGGUUUGAUCUGCGUUGCUUUUUGUCUCUUGCUGUGAAUCCUGAUAUGUGCCAAAUUAAAUAUAGGCUUCCUGCAAUGGUAGUUACACAGGUACAGCUUGACCGUGCCAAGGUAUCCACGAAGUCUGCAGUUCUAAUGAAUUUAGAGUCCAGAGAUAUCAGAAGAGAGCUUGGAAUGGAAAUAAUUGAGGAACAUACGGUGAUGAAAUAUUCUAAGGUCAACAAGAAAUGUGAAAAAUGUGGCCAUGGGGAAGCUACCUAUUAUACUAGAUAGAUGAGAUCAGCAGACAAAGAGCAAACUACUUUCUACACAUGUACCGGCUGUGGUCAUCAGUCUCAGGAGAAUUAGUGGUUUACUUUAAGGUUAUGCUUAGUUUGGGAGAGAAAAGUGGAAGGAAUAAGAAAGAUAAAGAGUGAAAACUGAGAUGAUUUUUUGGUAGGAGAGAAAAUGAAAACAAAGUUAAUUUUUCUUCUUCUUAUUUGAUUGUGUAUAAAGAAAAAAAAAGCAUGUAGGUGAAAUGUAAUAAAUACUUAAAACUUGGAAUCAAAUGUAGCAAUUAAUCUUUUCAUAAAAAAAAAUAUUUACAAGAUUUUUUUUUUGUGC